GAUGAAGAACGUAGCGAAAUGCGAUAAGUAAUGUGAAUUGCAGAAUUCAGUGAAUCAUCGAAUCUUUGAACGCACAUUGCGCCCGCCAGUGUUCUGGCGGGCAUGCCUGUUCGAGCGUCAUUUCAACCAUCAAGCCCCCGGCUUGUGUUGGGGACCUGCGGCUGCCGCAGGCCCUGAAAAGCAGUGGCGGGCUCGCUGUCACACCGAGCGUAGUAGCAUACAUCUCGCUCUGGGCGUGCUGCGGGUUCCGGCCGUUAAACCACCUUCAUAACCCAAGGUUGACCUCGGAUCAGGUAGGAAGACCCGCUGAACUUAAGCAUAUCAAUAAGCGGAGGA
rnacentral:misc_RNA from 1 species